UUCUCCAUGAGACGCGUUACCGGAACGACCGAGCCGUACACAAGCUCGGCUAAAUCUAUUGGAGGGCAAGUCUGGUGCCAGCAGCCGCGGUAAUUCCAGCUCCAAUAGCGUAUAUUAAAGUUGCUGCGGUUAAACCGCUCGUAGUUGGAUUGCGGAUGUCGACGACUGACGUCCUAAGCAGGAGUCGUUCAGUCGCUCGUCACCCUACGAUCAAGAUUGUCCUUGAUGCUCUUUAGUGAGUGUCCUGGGCGACUUGAAAUUUUACUUGAGAAAAUGGAAGCGCUCAAGGCAGGCCGUAGUGCUUGAACCGUGGUGCAUGGAA
rnacentral:rRNA from 1 species